rfam:Cavia porcellus supercont2_172 genomic scaffold, whole genome shotgun sequence.
UGGCACCCCCAACGUGGGACCCAAGAAUGGGGGACUUAGUGAGGGACGCUGUUCUUGGGCCCAUAGUAGAAAAGGGAAAGGAAAAUAGAGGACCGAUGUGGAAGCCUGCCAUGCCGCUGAGCCUCAGUAAGUGAACAGCAAUUAUGGGACAAGAAAUUAGCCACCAUCAGAUUUUUGUUGAAAGUUUAGAAAAGCUUUAAAGAUGCAAAGGGUAAAGGAAAAAAAAUAAGCAUAUGUCCAUUAGGACUUCAUAAACUUU